UACGGAGGGUGCAAGCGUUAUCCGGAUUCACUGGGGUUAAAGGGUGCGUAGGCGGGCAGGCAAGUCAGAGGUGAAAGCCCACGGCUCAACCGUGGAAGUGCCCCUGAUACUGCUUGUCUGGAGGGAGGUAGGGGCGUGCGGAACUUCCGGUGGAGCGGUGAAAUGCGUAGAUAUCGGAAGGAACACCGGUGGCGAAAGCGGCGCGCUGGACCUCUUCUGACGCUGAGGCGCGAAAGCUAGGGGAGCAAACGGG
rnacentral:rRNA from 1 species